AGCUCUGUAAGCGUAUACCAAAGUUGUUGCAGUUAAAACGCUCGUAGUCGGAACUUGGCGGAUGGUGAGCAACGUCUUCAUUGACGGUAGUUUUACCAAACGCCUUUGUGGAGGGUGGCCUACUGGUUCUUUACUGAAUCGAUAGGUCGCUGCCACCAUUUACUGUGAAAAAAUUAGAGUGUUCAAAGCAGGCGUUUGCCGUGAAUACAUUAGCAUGGAAUAAUAGAAUAGGACCUGGUCUCUAUUUUGUUGGUUUGUUAGAAUCGGGUAAUGAUUAAGAGGGAUGGUUGGGGGCAUUUGUAUUCCAGCGUCAGAGGUGAAAUUCUUGGAUUGUUGGAAGACAAACAGCUGCGAAAGCGUCUGCCAAGGACAUUUUCAUUGAUCAAGAACGAAAGUACGC
rnacentral:rRNA from 1 species